AUUCUUUCCAUAGUGGACGGGACAGAAAUCUAGAGGUUGCAUUUACACAAACGGGGCUUAGCACGUUCUGUGAACCUGCCCUGCAAGAAAAGGAGGGUGUAAAUCCUGUGCAUGUUCAGCUGGAGUAAGCAAGCACCGUUGCACUGGGAGACCCGUGAUGGCGCAGCGGUUAGAUUACAGUACUGCAGGCUAACUCACUGCUCACUCCAGGAGUUCAAUUCUCACCGGCUCAAGGUUGUCUCAGCCUUCCAUCCUUCCGAGGUGAACAUCUGGAGUGCAGUCUGGACUCUUGGGCAACACCUUAUAUACCUGGGAGGCGGAGUCAAGG